rnacentral:lncRNA from 1 species
CAGCGAGCGCAGAGAUGGCUUUAGGGAUGGAGAUGCUGCUUGAGGAGCCCGCAGAUAAGUUUUUCUAUUAAAAAAGAUAGGCGUUAGUGUAUUUCUUUAGGGAUUAUAAGUAGUGAAAAUACGGAGAUACUGCUUUGCAUUAAGUUCUUAGAUAAAUUUUAGGGAAAAUAUGAAGACUUAAAGAGUAGUUGGAGAAAGGAAGAGGGAAGAAAAAAGAUAAUUUUAGAACCUGAGGGAGGUUAAGAGCUGAAAUUUUUUCAUGGAGUGAAAAAUUUAAAAGAAUUGAUGAGCUAGGACUGCAAUGUCUGGAUUUUUUUUUUAAAGCCUUAACUUGAAGGGCAACCUUUUACCUUAACAUUAAAACGUUGGGUUACGUAAAUCGAACCUAAACGUUUUAAAAGGUUGAGUUGUAGGUGAUUAAAAUACUACAAAGGCCAUCUUAAGAUUUAACUGAAGGUGGUUUCAGAAAUAAUGCCUUCAGAUUCACGGCGCAGUAAAAAUGGCGUCAUUUGAAGCCUGCUUGAUACUAAGGCUUUGUUUGGCUAAAGUUGACGGAAAUAUUAGGAAUGGUAGGAAAGAAAAUUGGAAGUUUGAAGUGGAAAAUUCGGAAGACAGAAGUACAGGAAGGUGAAGAAAAAACUAGAGAAGAUAAGAGAUACACGUUUUAGAAGAUAAAACCUGAGCCUAGUAAGUAGGCAGAAAAAGACAAAUCUAGGAGAAAAUUGAAAAUACGGUCGAGUGCUUAAGAUAGAAUGAAAAGAAAGCUAUUGGACGCAAACAUACAAGAUAGACGUCCAAAAAUUUAGAUAGUUCAAAAUCAAUAAUGUUGGAUAAAUUACAGGAACAAAAACUAAGGAAAUUUUUAUAGCCAAUAAGAAUUUAUUGUAAAAGCCCAUCAACUUAUUUCUGGUGGUGCAAAAGUUAGAUCUCAGAAGAUGAGGGUUUUUUUUUUUUAAAACUACUGUAGACCAGGACCAACUUAGAAGAAAAUCCGGAAACUAGGAGAGUCAAUUUAAAAUCUCAGCAAAAAGUUACUGAAGGGGACUGAAGUAACUUAAAAGUUAAGAAUGUAUUUGGGAGAGUUAAAAAUCUGAAAGGCCUUAAAUGCGGUAGCGUAGUUUCCUUUGGAAAAUGUAAAGGACUUUAUAAGUGAAUUAAAUUGAAGAGCAAGAAUAACCAUCGAGUUAUUGGACUUUGAGCUAAGAUGAAUGUUUAAAUCCUGAGGACUAGGCGCUAAAUAACAGCUGACGCAGGUGCUACGCAGAAGUGGAUUCAGUGAAGCUAGGAAGACAGGAGCGGCAGACAGGAUUCGGAGCCAGUGUUGGUGAAAACUAGGACUGAGGAGCCAGCGGCAGUUCGUGAAGAUAGGAAAGAGAAGCCCGGGAGCCAGUGCGACUUGGUGAAGGAAGCUAGGAAGAAGGAGCGAGUCCUAACGAUUUGGAGGUGAAGCUAGGAGAGGAUUCCAGGAAGGAGGAAGCCAGUGCGGUGUGGUGAAGCUAGCGUGCGGCUUGGCUUGGCAACCACGCGGAGGCGGCGAGCAGGCGGAGUGGAGGAUAGAUAGAGGAUCCUAGAGCAGCAGACCAGUGUACGAGCCCCGCAGGGAGAGCCAGUGGUGUGGUAAAAAUCCGUGAAGUCGGCACUAUCGUGGGUUUUUUUUCCUCCUGUAACUCAGUAUGGUAAUAUCUCUUAUUAAAUUUUCCUAAUAGUAAUGGGGGAGUUGUGUACUUAAGCAUAAAGGGGAUUUUAUUACGGGGAUGUAGGCCGGUUUUCGGGUGUCGUAGGUUUCUCUUUUUCAGGCCUAUUUUCUCAUGCAUCUUGUCUGGAGCUUUUGAGGGCAGACUUCAAGGCCCGGAGGAAUGGUAGAUGGCAAGUGUUCUUGUUUUUAACCAAUAUGAGGGAUGUCCUGAAUUUGGUAGAACAACUGUGAGACAACUUCAGCAAGCUUUGUAAACAGGUUUUAUAUUCAGUUUGGGGGUAAUGAAGCAUUUCAGUUUCGUGAGUAGAGGGCCUACUUUUCUUUCCUCACCCUGUAUUUUAAAAGUCUUCUAAAUAUGUAGUUUCGGUGUAUAAUUCUGGGCGGGGGGAGUUUUUUUGGGGGGGGAGCAAAAUAUGUUUUGAGUUCUUUUCCCUUUAGGUCUGUCUAGAAUUCCAAAGGCAAAUGACUCGAGGUAACAGGCGAAAAGAAAAUCCAAUAUCAGGAUAAUCAGAACACUGCAGGUUUACAGUUAUAGAAACUCUAGCACAAGCAGCUUUCACUUUGAGGUCUGUGGCGCAGCUGUCCAUUGGAGUAAUGGCUGGUAGUUUAUUCUUUUUUUCCCCACCCCUUUAUUAAAUAUUUUUAUAAAGUACGUAACUGGUUAUUUUUACUUAAAUAUUUUGGGGUGGUGUGAACAGGGAAGAGGGUGGGGGAGAAACUUUUUUUUUCUAAGAUUUUCCACAGAUUCUAUAGUACUAUUGACAAUCUGAGUUAGAGAAGGAUUGUACUGCUACGCUGUUUGGCACCAACACCUUCAGGGAUUGGAGCAGCUUUUUUCCUUGGAAGAGUAUUCCCAGUGAAGCUGAAAUGUACAGCCCAGUGCAGCUUUGGUUCAUAUUCAGUCAUCUCAGGAGAACUUCAGAAGAGCUUGACUAGGCCAAAUGUUGAAGUUAAGUUUUCAAAUAACGACUUUUAAGAUACCUUUAUUAAAGGGGAGGGGCAAAUUUUGGCGAUUUGUAGUUGGCAGUGGCUUGUAAUGAUUGGGAUGGGGGGGGCGUGGGUUUAGGUAAUUGUUUAGUUUUUGAUUACAGAUAAACUCAUGCCAGAGAACUUAAAUACUUAAGGUGGAAAAACUAAAGAAAUCUCAACUUCCAAGUUGGCAAGUAACUCGAAAUCCUCUGGUUCUGUUUUGCCCCAAUUUUUGAAUUUAACAGAUGGGGAAGUUGAUGACGAUUCACUGGAUUUAAAAGAGUAGGGCUUGGGAAAGGAAAAUGACUGGGGGUUGGUCUGGCCCUCUGCGCUGACUUAGAUAAAAACUUGGGGAAUUUUUUUUUAAAUGGUAAAGUUCGGAUAUAGUGUGUGGUUCUCUCUUGGAAUAUUUUUCAGGUGAUUUAAUAAAACUUAAUACUACUAUAGGAGCUUCAGAGCAAAGGAGGUGGCUUAAUGAUCCUGAAGGGAUUUCUUCUGGUGGUAGCUUUUGUAUUAUCAAGUAAGAUUCUUUUUUCGGCUGUAUAUAAGCAAGAUUGUUUGGUUUAUUCUUUUCUUUUUUAGCGUAGGAAAAGUUUGUUGUUAAGGUAUGCUUCAAAAUUAUUGUUAAUUGUAUUUUGAAUUUACAUCUAAGCCUUGUAAAUCAUAACUGAUAAGAGGGGGUGGGCUUUUGUUGAUGAGGGAGGGGAAACCUUUUUUUUUUGUAGACUUUUUUCAGAUAACAUCUUCUGAGUCAUAACCAGCCUGGCAAUCUGAUGGCCUAGAUGGAGAGGGGAACAGCUCCUUGGUGAAUGAUAAGUAAAGGCAGAAAAGAUUGUAUUUCAUACCUACAUUGGGGAAAAAAGCAUAACCCUGAGAUUUUCUUCUGAUGAACACAUUGUCUGCACAUGCAAAAAAAAAAGCAAAUGAAAACUACCAAUUUAAAGUUAAUGGAAUCUACUACUAUAAAGUUAAUGGCUUAUCAAGCUGUAUCCACAAAAAUAAUGAAUUGAUGAAAAAUAAAAAUAACGAUACAAUGAAGAUCAAAAUGUCAAUCUCAAUACUGCUUUUACAAAAGCAGAAUUAAAAAAGCGAAAUGAAAAUAGCGCUACAUAUUAAUCCUGGAAAAAAAAGAAGCUGAAAUAAUUGAAAUGAGUGGGAUCAAGUGAAUUGAGAGGAGGAAGAGGCUGUGCUGUUUGCCAAUCUUUCGUUUGCCUCAGACAGGUUUUUCUUCAUUAUCAGAAGAGUUGCUUCAUUUCAUCUGGGAGCAGAAAACAGCAGGCAGCUGUUAACAGAUAAGUUUAACUUGCAUCUGCAGUAUUGCAUGUUAGGAAUAAGUGCUUACCUUUGUGAAGAGCUGUGGAAGUCCUAGGUCCCUUACCUAAGGGAUUCCAGGAUUGUGAGGCAUCGUCCCAUCCAGCCUUUUAAAAUUAGACAGGACAGCGUUCCUGUGGGCUUUGAUGAUGGGACAGCACAUUUCAUUCAAGAGGCAAGUAAUUCCUUAAAGCCUCUUGAGAUUAGCAAAGAUAAUGUUUAUAAAACUAAGAACAUUUGUUUAGCCUUGAAUCUGACAGCCCUAUUUAAGGGAUAGUAUUGUACUGUUAAGAAUUCAGAUUUUGUUAAUCUUGCUAAAAUUCAAAUGUUACGUGUAUUGUGCAGAAAACCAUUAAAUCAUUCAAAAUAAAAUACUUUUAUUUUUAGAGAAUGUAUGCUUUUAGGAAGCUGUCUCCUUAUUUAAAUAAAACAUUGUUUGUCUGUAGUUAGUGUUGGGGCAAUCUGGGGGGGGUUUCUUCUCAUCUUUCAGAAACUUUGUCUGCGAACACUCUUUAAUGGACAAGAUCAGGAAAUUGAGCAGAAGAACGAAUUUAAUUUAAGGCAGGAAAAAAUUUUGUCCUUCGUAAAAGUGAUGAGCAUUUAAUAAUUCCAGGCACAUGGCAAUAGAGGCCCUCUAAAUAAGGAAUAAAUACCUCUUAGACAGGUGGGAGAUUAUGAUCAGAAGAACAGGUAACUUAACUCCUACAAUGUUUGCAGAAAGUCAGGAGUCUGUCUAGUGGUUAAACUAGAGUAAUGGAAUGUACUGUCCACAUUUCCAGUUUGCAUGUUAACUUUGCUUAGUCAUCUCAUCUGGUGUUAGCCAGUGUUCACACUGUUGGCCUACUUUUUAGAUACCUGGUGGGGGGGUGGUUGGUUUUUUUUUUUUUUUUAAAGAAUUUUCCUUUGCAGAGGCUUCAUUUCAUCCUUCGUGAAGCUUUUCAGGAUUUUGGCUUUCAUGUAAACGCUUGGCUCUGCCUUCUGUUCUCCUAGGGAGUGUUUCAGACCUUGCAGUGAGUUUAUCGGCAUAUUUAAGUAUAAACAUUUUUCCCCUUGAAUUUGGAGGGAAGGGAGGAGAGGGUGGGGCUUACUUGUUUUAGCUUUUUUUUUUACAGACUACACAGAAUGCAGUUGUCUUGACCUCAGGUCUGUGUGUUCUCUUGGCAAGUAAUACAGUACUGUUCUGAUCCGCUGCUAUUAGAAUGCAUUUUGAAACGACUGGAGUAUGAGUCAAAGUUGUGUUUCCCCCAAUGCUUGGAGUGGAGUAGUGAUUGUUAAAAGAAAAUCCAGCUGAGUGAUAAAAGGCUGAGUGUUGAGGAAAUUUCUGCAGCUUUUUAAGCAUUCAUGUUUGUGAUUGGAGCGGAGUCCCUUUUGCUGUGCUUUUUUUUAGGUAAAAUGCUUUUUGUUCACUUCUGGUAAGGGGGUGGGGAGGGCACUGAAGCCUUUAGUCUUUUCCAGAUGCAACUUUAAAAUCAGUGACAAGAAAUAAUUCCAAACGAGCAGCACUCUUGAAGAAAUUUAACUGGCAAGUGGAAAUGUUUACCAACAGUUCAGUGGUCUUAGUGCAUUUGUUUUUGUUUGGGUGUCUCUCUCUCCUCCCCUGGUCUUAAUUUCAUAUACAGGAACAUUCAAAACAACAGACAGACGUAUGCGAAAGGCCAGAGAAGCCAGACCCAGUAAGGAAAAAUAGCUUACUUACUUUUAAAAUAAUAAACCAAAAAACACUGCAUUUUAAAUGUGGGGAUUGGGAACCACUAGUUCUUUCAGAUGGUAUUCUUCAGACUAUAGAAGGAGCUUCCAGUUGAAUUCACCAGUGGACAAAAUGAGGACAACAGGUAUAUUCCUCAUGCAACUAGUGAUUGGAGAAGCCUGUUUUGAAAAAUUGAUUACACAUAUCAAUAAAAAUUGAAAAAACUUCACUGGUGUGAUUCAUUUAUGUAUAUACCAAACUUCU